ACGCAGCCGAAACUUCUAAUGAGAGGCGGAGAUGGGCGCCAUCGGUACGGCAAUGCAGGACGGAAGAGGCAAGUCACAGGGACUGUAACUUGGAACCUGACAGAGGGCAGCAGUAACUGUCAGUACUAUUCAGAGGUGGAAGACAGGAGUCCUAGUACGGCUAUGAAAUAGACUACUCUGGGCGCCAUCCCACUCGCGUCAAACAGAUCACUGACAAGCAUUCCUGUUUGGGACAAGCCAGGCAGUACAUCCAUUGUGUGGCUGUAAGCCCAACUACGAACCAGUGUGCGGUACAAAUGGAAAAACAUAUGAAAAUGAGUGCAAGCUAGGAUGUGACUAUGACUCACCCAUCAAACCCUCCUUAGCAUACAGAGGAAGCUGCAUAGAUCCCUUCCCAUAUCUACCCAACCCAUACCCAUUUUCACCACCAAACCUACCACCUUCCCCUAUUCCAUACCCCUAUCCGACACCCCUACCCCCCACACCUGGCCCGGUACUAUAUUAAAACACAAUUUUCAACGGAA